rnacentral:rRNA from 1 species
CGGGUCCACGGCGAGGGCACAUCUGUCGUAGAUAUGGGGGCACCCCCUCGCGGUAACACAAUAGUUCACCGGAGAGCGCCCGAGGUGAAUUCAAAGAAUGGCGGGCCGCCCAAGCAGUGGAUUAUUGUUUAUUCGAGCAACGCGAGACCUUACCAGGGUUGACAUCCACUACGAAGCAGAGAUGCAUAAGGUGCCUUCGGGGAAAGUGGAGACAGGUGGUGCAUGGUGUCGUCAGCUCGUGUCGUGAGAUGUUGGGUUAAGUCCCGCAACGAGCGCAACCCUUAUGUUAGUUGCUACGCAAGAGCACUCUAGCGAGACUGCCGUUGACAAAACGGAGGAAGGUGGGGACGACGUCAAAUCAUCAUGCCCCUUAUGUCCUGGGCUACACACGUAAUACAAUGGCGCAAAACAGAGGGAAGCAAAGCCGCGAGGCAGAGCAAACCCCCAAAAGGCGUCCCAGUUCGGAUCGCAGGCUGCAACCCGCCUGCGUGAAGUCGGAAUUGCUAGUAAUCGCGGAUCAGAAUGCCGCAAAGAAUACGUUCCCGGGCCUUGUACACACCGCCCGUCACACCAUGAGAGUCGGGAACACCCGAAGUCCGUAGCCUAACCGCAAGGAGGGCGCGGCCGAAGGUGGGCUUGAUAAUUGGGGUGAAGUCGUAACAAGGUAGCCGUUCGAGAACGAGCGGCUGGAUCACCUCCUUCUAAUC